CCUACGGGUGGCAGCAGUGAGGAAUAUUGGUCAAUGGACGAGAGUCUGAACCAGCCAAGUAGCGUGAAGGAUGACUGCCCUAUGGGUUGUAAACUUCUUUUAUAUGGGAAUAAAACGUUCCACGUGUGGGAUUUUGUAUGUACCAUAUGACUAAGGAUCGGCUAACUCCGUGCCAGCAGCCGCGGUAAUACGGAGGAUCCGAGCGUUAUCCGGAUUUAUUGGGUUUAAAGGGAGCGUAGGUGGAUUGUUAAGUCAGUUGUGAAAGUGUGCGGCUCAACCGUAAAAUUGCAGUUGAAACUGGCAGUCUUGAGUACAGUAGAGGUGGGCGGAAUUCGUGGUGUAGCGGUGAAAUGCUUAGAUAUCACGAAGAACUCCGAUUGCGAAGGCAGUUCACUGGACUGCAACUGACACUGAGGCUCGAAAGUGUGGGUAUCAAACAGGAUUAGAUACCCCUGUAGUC
rnacentral:rRNA from 1 species